UGGAAUAUCUCUCUACCUGUU
rnacentral:miRNA from 1 species